CUCUACAUGACAGACAGGCGGACAGGCGUGACGUUAAAGCGGAGCAGCGAUUGGUUCUGGCAAGCAGAGUCUAAUCAGCCACUCUACUCUAGAUCUCAACUCAACAGAACACCUAUUGGAGAUUUUGGACUAACAUGCAGCCACCACCAUCAUCAAAACACCAACAUCUUCCCUGAUGAAUGAAGACGAGACAAAGGUGUUGGGAGUCUGACAUUGACACAAUGACAGCUGUUAUUUGUAUUGUGUCUUUUUCACACACCUGUCAAAGGACCAACACAUUGACCCUACAUUAAUUAUCGAAGGGGUGUGCGGUUAGUGCGACUAAGGCCUGGUAGAUAGGGUGUCGCUCCACAGUCAUCCUUAUGUAAUCAGAGGUGAUUUCCUGAGAAGGCCGGGAUGAGGUCAUGGUCAGUAAACAGAGUGAGUCGGUGAGUCACACAGAGCUGUGACCCUCACGUGUUGGUUCACAUGUUUGGAGAUGGACAUUUGGCUUUUGUUGCGGUCAGGAGAUUCACCUGUCAUUCAAAACAGAAGAGCUGCCAUAUGUGACAUGCAUAAUUACACCUUUCUGUUAUGAAAUCUGUUCAUCACUUCAGCGCACAGAUAAAGGAAGGAGACAAGGUUGGGGUAAGCUGGAUUUAAAACGUUCUUGCACGCAUAUAACCUGUAUGUGUCUUUGUGUGUCCAAGCACCCCCCACAUGCGUCUGUCAAAGUGUGAGUGUGUGCUGCGUACAGCUCCCCCGGUGAGCCAAAUGCUCCACUUCUUCCUAAAGCAAAUCGCAGCUAAUCAAAUAAGAGCCCUCAGCAGCUCGCAGACAUACGGAGGAACAGUGUGUGUGUGAGUGUGUGUCUGGAGGAGGAGGUGGAGGAGACAAUCUAGUGGCUUCAAGAGGUCCUGGAUAGUAGGAGGGGGUGGAAGGACACACAUACACCUGUGCAACCUUGUACCGCUGUCAAAGACACACAAGCAUGGAUGGAUGCACAUAUUCCUCUGUCACACACACAGAUAUAUAAGGUACAUAAAUAAAGGAGUCAAGUGCAAACACACAUCUAGCAUCUUUUGUCUCCCUGACUUUCGCGGUCUUUCGUUACCACAUAAGUGGCCUUGUGGGAGAAAAAUGAAAUACUGAUGGUGAAAUACUAAAAGACUUUUCACUGUAUGCAAGUUCUAACUGUUGGCUGACUGCAGAUAACAUUUUGAUUUAUUCCAGCUCAUAAAAUAUAUGAAAAAUGUAGUGAUAACAUGGAGAGCUCAUCCAGAUGACUGACAGGACCUGUCGAGAUGCUUUGUUACCAUGAAUUCUGGAGCUUAACAGCGAGUUUUCUGGCUGAAAACAGGCAGAGCAGCAGGCCAGAUUGAGGAGGUUGCAACUAGACUUGUUUUCGGCUCUGCUCCUUGGCACCAAUAUUGACGCUGUGUGAGUGGCAGAGCUCCAGCGCUGGCCUGGCUCGCUUUCUACGCUCUCGUCCAUGCUCACCCUCCUGACACGCUGCCCUCUGGCUAGCCCUCUGUGUGUGGGCAUGAGUGUGUGUGUGUGUGUGUGUUUGACUGUGUAUGGGUGCAUGCAGUUGUGUCUGUGCGCCUGAGUAAUCUGUGACUGGCUUUAGUCUGUGUGCACAAUCGUGUGUAUGCUAUGUGUGUGUGUGUGUGUGUGUGUGUGUUUGGGGCAGCUGCGUGCCCUCCUCCUGUCUGCCUGUGGGACAAUCAGCCGCUGCCUGCGACCACAGAGACCGAAGGCACAGGGCAAGAAUGUCUUUCAGUGGCCGAGAGGUGGAUGCCAAGACGCACACACACACACACACACACGCACGCGCAAGCCAAAAAAACAGACAUAUAUGCUGAUACAAACAGACUGCUUUAUUAUUCAUAAAUAUUAUUUUCCAAUGUAUAUUAUUUUAUUCAUCAGUGAAAAAGUAUGUCUUCCCGAUCACAACAGCCUUUUUGUAAAUUUCAAUGGAAGUAAACACAUGCAAAUCUUCCAUUCAACUUCUUUUUAAUCUUGACAAUUUAUUUGCUUGUUUUUGUUUUUAUCAUCUUUUAAAUGCAAUUUUAAUGUCUUUUUCUCUCCUUGUUUUUAAUGUAUUUUAAAUGCAAUCUUAAUGUCUUCAUAAUGUCUUAUUUUCAAUGUAUUUCUAUGCCGUUGUAAAGCACUUUGAAUUGCCUUGUGUCUGAAUGGUGCCAUAUAAAUAAAAUUGCCUUGCCUUUC